UUGCUGCUGAACUGCCCAUUUACACCUGACAUGUUUGAUUUGUGAUUCAUUGCUUCUGUGUAGGAAUUUGAGCUUUCGUUUCAGUGAAUGUUUCCUCUUGGAUUAUCUAAUGUGAAAUGUUUGCAAAGAAUCACAACACUGUAGGCUAUCGAUGUGUGUACACAGACUCCGAUGAAGUUUUCUGUCAGUCAAGAGCUCUUUUGAUCAUCGACGCCUCCUCAAACUCCCACAGCUACACACACACAGAGCCGUGGAUAUGCUGAUAUGAUCACCCUGGCAACAUCACGAUUCACUGAGGACUAAAUCAAAAGACACAAGAGACUUCUUUAUGACUUCAAUUAAACCUCCUCUGUUUACUCUACUGCUAGAUCUGCUUGAAGAGGCUGGUCUCUGUGAAAGUCAGUGCUGGCGCCCUUCGUCAUAUGGUAAUCGCCCUUGCUUGCAAAAAGGAGGGAUGGCGGCCAAACAGGACUAGAUUUGAUCUGCGUCCAGGGCUCUAUUGAUAACCCCAUCUAUCUUACUUGAUUUGGCAAAAAGGGCCUCACUAAUGACACCAACGGGGUGGCAAACUCACUACCUUGACAGAUGUCCAAAUCACUGGUAAACAACAGAAAGCGGGUGAAAAGAAAUAAAUGACCGUUUCGAAUCAGCAGGGAGGUUGGAUAUGUCUGAAGACACGCCAGGAAAGGAAGUUGAGCUUUGAUUGGAGCUGGAAACGGGGAAUACAGGUGCAAAUUUUUCUUUUAAGAAAAGAUGUCACCUCAAUGAGCCAAUGAAGAUUAGCCGAACGCCCGAGGAGCGUUCAGUCUUUAAAUGACUUUUAUGUCACUGUGCACCUGUCAGAUACUAUUAUACUAUAUAUGUUCACCCAUUGUACAGUACAAUGAAAAUUCAGAUUGUGCCCACAAUCUCUUAACUCUUAUAAUAAUAUAAUAUAAUAUAAUAUAAUAUAAUAUAAUAUAAUAUAAUAUAAUAUAAUAUAAUAUAAUAUAAUAUAAUAAUCUUAAUAUCAGCAGCUUGGACUUUU